CCUACGGGUGGCAGCAGUCGAGAAUCAUUCACAAUGGGGGAAACCCUGAUGGUGCGACGCCGCGUGGGGGAAUGAAGGUCUUCGGAUUGUAAACCCCUGUCAUGUGGGAGCAAAUUAAAAAGAUAGUACCACAAGAGGAAGAGACGGCUAACUCUGUGCCAGCAGCCGCGGUAAUACAGAGGUCUCAAGCGUUGUUCGGAAUCACUGGGCGUAAAGCGUGCGUAGGCUGUUUCGUAAGUCGUGUGUGAAAGGCGCGGGCUCAACCCGCGGACGGCACAUGAGACUGCGAGACUAGAGUAAGGGAGGGGGAACCGGAAGUCUCGGUGUAGCAGUGAAAUGCGUAGAUAUCGAGAGGAACACUCGUGGCGAAGGCGGGUUCCUGGACAUUAACUGACGCUGAGGCACGAAGGCCAGGGGAGCGAAAGGGAUUAGAUACCCUGGUAGUC
rnacentral:rRNA from 1 species